UAACAGCUCACUGGUCGAGUGGACAUGCGCCGACAAUACACGGGGCUAAGCUGGACACCGAAGCGGCGGGAUUUUACCUAAGUAGAAUCGGUAGGGGAGCUUCCCAUGGGCGGAGAAGCCGGAGGGCGACCGACGGUGGAGCGCAUGGGAGUGAGAAUGCUGGCAUGAGUAGCGAGAGACGAGAGAGUAACUCGUCCGCCGUGAACCCGAGGUUUCCUGGGCAAGGCUAAUCCUCCCAGGGUCAGUCGGGGGCUAAGGCGAGGCCGGUAGGCGUAGCCGACGCGCAGCAGGCAGACAUUCCUGCACCGCGCACGCGGCGCUACGACCGACGGGGCGACGGAUGGGGGUGGCUCGGCGGGGUUCUGGACGUCCCCGUGAUGGAGCGCGGCCCGCGGACCAGGGAAAUCCGGUCCGCACACAGGGCGAGGCUCCGGACGAAGCGACUGAGCGAAGCGAGUGAGCCCGAGGUCCCUAGAAAAACCCCUAGGCAGGCGCGUGCGCGCCCGUACCGCAAACCGACACAGGUGGGUGGGUAGAACAUACCGAGGCGAUCGGGUCAACCAUGGUCAAGGAACUCGGCACAAUGGCCCCGUAACUUCGGGAGAAGGGGUGCCCGCGCGUACGUGAACCGGCUUGCCCGGGGAGCGGAGGCGGGCCGCAGUGGAGAGGCCCAAGCGACUGUUUACCAAAAACACAGGACUCUGCAGAAGCCGCAAGGCGACGUAUAGGGUCUGACGCCUGCCCGGUGCCGGAAGGUCACGCGGAGGAGUUAGCCGUUAAGGCGAAGCCCCGAAGCCAAGCCCCGGUAAACGGCGGCCGUAACUAUAACGGUCCUAAGGUAGCGAAAUUCCUUGUCGGGUAAGUUCCGACCUGCACGAAAGGCGCAACGACUUGGGCGCUGUCUCGACCAUGGACCCGGUGAAAUUGCACUGGUCGUGAAGAUGCGACUUACCCGCGGAAGGACGGAAAGACCCCGUGAACCUUCACUGCAGCUUGGCAUUGGCCGCUGGUCCCGCGUGUAGAGGAUAGGCAGGAGGCACAGAUCCGGAGGCGCCAGCCCCCGGGGAGCCGCCCUUGGAAUACUGCCCUCGCGCGACCGGCGUCCUAACCCGAGGCCGUCAACCGGCUCGGGGACCGUGCCAGGCGGGCAGUUUGACUGGGGCGGUCGCCUCCUAAAGGGUAACGGAGGCGCGCGAAGGUCCGCUCGGGACGGUCGGCAACCGUCCUUUUGAAUGCAAGAGUACAAGCGGGCUUGACUGCGAGGCCCACAAGCCGAGCAGGUGCGAAAGCAGGCUCUAGUGAUCCGGCGGCCCCGAGUGGGUGGGCCGUCGCUCAACGGAUAAAAGGUACUCCGGGGAUAACAGGCUGAUCUUGCCCAAGAGUCCACAUCGACGGCAAGGUUUGGCACCUCGAUGUCGGCUCAUCGCAUCCUGGGGCUGUAGCAGGUCCCAAGGGUUGGGCUGUUCGCCCAUUAAAGCGGUACGCGAGCUGGGUUCAGAACGUCGUGAGACAGUUCGGUCCCUAUCCUCCGUGGGCGCAGGAGAAUCGAUGGAGGCUGCCCCCAGUACGAGAGGACCGGGGUGGACGCACCUCCGGUGAACCGGUUGUCGACCAACGGCACGGCCGGGUAGCCGCGUGCGGCGCGGAUAACCGCUGAAGGCAUCUAAGCGGGAAGCCGUUCCAGGGAUUAGUUCUCCUUCCGGUAAGGGCCCAGGUAGACUACCUGGUCGAUAGACGGCAGGUGCAAGGGCGGCGACGUCCUCAGCCGAGCCGCACUAAUCGCCCGAGCUCUUCCGGA
rnacentral:rRNA from 1 species